rnacentral:rRNA from 1 species
CCCGACUGCUAUCAGAGUGGGACUAAGCCAUGCGAGUCGACAUAGCAAUAUGUGGCAUACGGCUCAGUAACACGUAGUCAACAUGCCCAGGGGACGUGGAUAACCUCGGGAAACUGAGGAUAAACCGCGAUAGGUCAUCACUUCUGGAAUGGGUAAUGACUUAAACCUAUAUGGCCCCUGGAUUGGACUGCGGCCGAUCAGGCUGUUGGUGAGGUAAUGGCCCACCAAACCUGUAACCGGUACGGGCUCUGAGAGGAGGAGCCCGGAGAUGGGCACUGAGACAAGGGCCCAGGCCCUAUGGGGCGCAGCAGGCGCGAAACCUCUGCAAUAGGCGAAAGCUUGACAGGGUUACUCUGAGUGAUUUCCGUUAAGGAGAUCUUUUGGCACCUCUAAAAAUGGUGCAGAAUAAGGGGUGGGCAAGUCUGGUGUCAGCCGCCGCGGUAAUACCAGCACCCCGAGUGGUCGGGACGUUUAUUGGGCCUAAAGCAUCCGUAGCCGGUUCUACAAGUCUUCCGUUAAAUCCACCUGCUUAACAGAUGGGCUGCGGAAGAUACUAUAGAGCUAGGAGGCGGGAGAGGCAAGCGGUACUCGAUGGGUAGGGGUAAAAUCCGUUGAUCCAUUGAAGACCACCAGUGGCGAAGGCGGCUUGCCAGAACGCGCUCGACGGUGAGGGAUGAAAGCUGGGGGAGCAAACCGGAUUAGAUACCCGGGUAGUCCCAGCUGUAAACGAUGCAGACUCGGUGAUGAAUUGGCUUAUUGCUAAUUCAGUGCCGCAGGGAAGCCGUUAAGUUUGCCGCCUGGGGAGUACGGUCGCAAGACUGAAACUUAAGGGAAUUGGCGGGGGAGCACCACAAGGGGUGAAGCCUGCGGUUCAAUUGGAGUCAACGCCGGAAAUCUUACCGGGGGCGACAGCAGAGUGAAGGUCAAGCUGAAGACUUUACCAGACAAGCUGAGAGGAGGUGCAUGGCCGUCGCCAGCUCGUGCCGUGAGGUGUCCUGUUAAGUCAGGUAACGAGCGAGAUCCCUGCCUCUAGUUGCUACCAUUAUUCUCAGGAGUAGUGGAGCUAAUUAGAGGGACCGCCGUCGCUGAGACGGAGGAAGGUGGGGGCUACGGCAGGUCAGUAUGCCCCGAAACCCUCGGGCCACACGCGGGCUGCAAUGGUAAGGACAAUGAGUUUCGAUUCCGAAAGGAGGAGGCAAUCUCUAAACCUUACCACAGUUAUGAUUGAGGGCUGAAACUCGCCCUCAUGAAUAUGGAAUCCCUAGUAACCGCGUGUCACUAUCGCGCGGUGAAUACGUCCCUGCUCCU